UACGUAGGUGGCAAGCGUUGUCCGGAUUUAUUGGGUUUAAAGGGUGCGUAGGCGGUUAUAUAAGUCAGUGCUGAAAUAUCCCGGCUUAACCGGGAGGGUGGCAUUGAUACUGUAUGACUUGAGUCGAGUUGAGGUUGGCGGAAUUGACGGUGUAGCGGUGAAAUGCUUAGAUAUCGUCAAGAACACCGAUAGUGAAGACAGCUAACUAAGCUCAAACUGACGCUGAGGCACGAAAGUGUGGGGAUCAAACAGGA
rnacentral:rRNA from 1 species